rnacentral:rRNA from 1 species
UACGAAGGGGGCUAGCGUUGCUCGGAAUCACUGGGCGUAAAGGGUGCGUAGGCGGGUUUUUAAGUCAGGGGUGAAAUUCUGGAGCUCAACUCCAGAACUGCCUUUGAUACUGAAGAUCUUGAGUUCGGGAGAGGUGAGUGGAACUGCGAGUGUAGAGGUGAAAUUCGUAGAUAUUCGCAAGAACACCAGUGGCGAAGGCGGCUCACUGGCCCGAUACUGACGCUGAGGCACGAAAGCGUGGGGAGCAAACAGG